rnacentral:rRNA from 1 species
GACGAACGCUGGCGGCGUGCCUAAUACAUGCAAGUAGGACGCAGUUGCGAACGGGUUAGUAACGCGCAGGUAACUACCUAUGAGAGGCGGAUAACUAUAGGAAACGAUAGCUAAUACCGCAUACUAGUAGAGUGACCUGGUUGGUAUUUGCUAGUAGGUAGGGGAAUGGCCUACCUAGGCAACGAUACAUAGCCGACCUUAGAGGGGGAUCGGACACACUGGGACUGGGACACGGCACAGACUCCUACGGGUGGCAGCAGUAGGGAAUCUUCGGCAAUGGGGGGAACCCUGACCGAGCAACGCCGCGUGAGUGGAGAAGGUUUUCGGGUCGUAAAGCUAUGUUGUUAAGGAAGCGGUACUUAAACAGAAAGGGACGGCUAACUACGUGCCAGCAGCCGCGGUAAUAC